AGGCGUUUAGCUCAGCCCGGCUAGAGCAUCGGUCUCCAAAACCGAGUGUCGGGGGUUCGAAUCCCUCAACGCCUG
rnacentral:tRNA from 1 species